rnacentral:misc_RNA from 1 species
GAACGCAUAUUGCGCUCGAGACUUCGGUCGAGAGCAUGUCUGUCUCAGCGUCGGCUCACCCCUCGCCCCCUCCCCUUUCAUUUGCAAAGGAGAACGGGCGGACGUGGCCGUCUCGCUGCUGUUAGUUUUUAAUUAAUCGGCGGCGGGUCGGCUGAAGUGCAGGGCUCGCGGCGCGACCCUCUCAAAAGAGCGCCAGCAUGGUAGGUGGCUUCACGCUGCAUGCCGCUGUCGUUCGACUGCAGAGGGCUCAAAUGCCGCUCGGCCAUAAGCAGGAAUUUUUUCUGGCGCCUUCGGGCAAAAGAAAAUUCAAACCUUCGACCUGAGAUCAGACAAGACCACCCGCUGAACUUAAG